rnacentral:rRNA from 1 species
GAUGAACGCUGGCGGCGUGCUUAACACAUGCAAGUCGAACGAAGCAAUUUAACGGAAGUUUUCGGAUGGAAGUUAAAUUGACUGAGUGGCGGACGGGUGAGUAACGCGUGGGUAACCUGCCUCAUACAGGGGGAUAACAGUUAGAAAUGACUGCUAAUACCGCAUAAGCGCACAGGACCGCAUGGUCUGGUGUGAAAAACUCCGGUGGUAUGAGAUGGACCCGCGUCUGAUUAGCUAGUUGGUGGGGUAACGGCCUACCAAGGCGACGAUCAGUAGCCGACCUGAGAGGGUGACCGGCCACAUUGGGACUGAGACACGGCCCAAACUCCUACGGGAGGCAGCAGUGGGGAAUAUUGCACAAUGGGCGAAAGCCUGAUGCAGCGACGCCGCGUGAGCGAAGAAGUAUUUCGGUAUGUAAAGCUCUAUCAGCAGGGAAGAAAAAUGACGGUACCUGACUAAGAAGCACCGGCUAAAUACGUGCCAGCCGCCGCUGUAAAAC